rnacentral:lncRNA from 1 species
AUUAUUUAAUUUUAUAAAAUGAAUCAAAUGUAGUAAUUCUUUAUUUACUGUAAUGCAAUAUUAUAUUAUUGUAUUAAAGCAAAUGCGUAAUAUAACAUCAGUAGUAAUUUUAUUAAAAAAUCUUAAAUAUCUAGUUAUGUCGAAAUACUCUGUAAUAUUAUAUAAUACGAACCAAACGCACCUAUUUGCAAUGCCCUAUUGCCGACUAGAUUACAAAUUGGAUGAAUCAAACAUAGUAAUUUUGACAGAAUUAUCUGUAAUCCUGACAGCAUAACCCAAAUCAAACACGCCCUAAUAGAGUCCACUAUCAUAUCGAUCCUAUCAUUCUUAAUCCAAAAACCAAAAAGUCGUAAUCACCAACACCCUUAUACUUAUGAAAAUCAUAUUACCUCUCUCNGCUUUGCAUGUACAUCUUUCUAUCAUUAUCAAUAUUUCUUAUUUACUCUUAAAUUAAAGAAAAAAAAAAUAUUUUAAUUUUUUUUUAACUCUAGGAGAUAUUUAACU